rnacentral:rRNA from 1 species
AUUGAACGCUGGCGGCAGGCUUAACACAUGCAAGUCGAGCGAGCGGCGGACGGGUGAGUAAUGUCUGGGAAACUGCCUGAUGGAGGGGGAUAACUACUGGAAACGGUAGCUAAUACCGCAUACCAUCAGAUGUGCCCAGAUGGGAUUAGCUAGUAGGUGGGGUAUUGGCUCACCUAGGCGACGAUCCCUAGCUGGUCUGAGAGGAUGACGAGCCACACUGGAACUGAGACACGGUCCAGACUCCUACGGGAGGCAGCAGGGGGGAAUAUUGGACAAUGGGCGCAAGACUGAUGCAGCCAUGCCGCGUGUGUGAAGAAGGCCUUCGGGGUGUAAAGCACUUUCAGCGAGGAGGCGUUACUCGCAGAAGAAGCACCGGCUAACUCCGUGCCAGCAGCCGCGGUAAUUC